GCACUCUGAAAGCUUCGGGUUCCUUUUGCUGGAGCCGGGAGAGCAAGGCUGUCCCGGCUUCAGCAAAAGGAACCUGAAGCCUGCGGAGCGC